AAACCAACAGGGAUUGCCUUAGUAGCGGCGAGUGAAGCGGCAAGAGCUCAAAUUUGAAAUCUGGUACCUUCGGUGCCCGAGUUGUAAUUUGAAGAAAGCAAUCUUGGAUUUGGCCUUUGUCUAUGUUCCUUGGAACAGGACGUCAUAGAGGGUGAGAAUCCCGUCUGAUGAGGUGUCCAUUUCUAUGUAAGAUGUUUUCGAAGAGUCGAGUUGUUUGGGAAUGCAGCUCAAAGUGGGUGGUAAAUUCCAUCUAAAGCUAAAUAUUGGCGAGAGACCGAUAGCGAACAAGUACUGUGAAGGAAAGAUGAAAAGAACUUUGAAAAGAGAGUGAAAAAGUACGUGAAAUUGUUGAAAGGGAAGGGUAUUUGAUCAGACUUGGUAUUUAGUUAUCAUUACUCUUUAUGGGUGGUGCUCUAGCUUUUUACUGGGCCAGCAUCAGUUUUGGUGGCAAGAUAAUGACUGUUGAAUGUAGCUCCUUGGAGUAUUAUAGCCUCAGUUGAUAUUGCCUACCGGGACUGAGGUCUGCGGCUUUGCCUAGGAUGCUGGCGUAAUGAUCCAAUACCGC
rnacentral:rRNA from 1 species